CGCCGUGGCUGAACGUAGAUUUUCUGACGCAUCACUGGUUAAGUACCGAAUAUAAGCUGAGAACAACAACUCACGAUCACCGUGGCUGAACGUAGAUUUCCUGACGCAUCACUGGUUAAGUACCGAAUAGAAGCUGAGAACAACAACUCACGGUAUGUUUUUAAGAUCACCGUGGCUGAACGCAGAUUUCCUGACGCAUCACUGGUUAAGUACCGAAUAGAAGCUGAGAACAACAACUCACGGUAUGUU